ACCCCUUAGAGGAUGACUGAUUUCUUUUGGUGUUCAGAGUCAAUAUAAUUUUCUAGCACCAUCUGAAAUCGGUUAUAAUGAUUGGGGA
ensembl:miRNA microRNA 29a